AUUGAACGCUGGCGGAAUGCUUUACACAUGCAAGUCGAACGGUAGAGGGGGCAACCCCUCGAGAGUGGCGAACGGGUGAGUAAUAUAUCGGAACGUGCCCAGUCGUGGGGAUAACGUAGCGAAAGUUACGCUAAUACCGCAUACGAUCUAAGGAUGAAAGCGGGGGAUCGCAAGACCUCGCGCGAUUGGAGCGGCCGAUAUCAGAUUAGGUAGUUGGUGGGGUAAAGGCUCACCAAGCCAACGAUCUGUAGCUGGUCUGAGAGGACGACCAGCCACACUGGAACUGAGACACGGUCCAGACUCCUACGGGAGGCAGCAGUGGGGAAUUUUGGACAAUGGACGCAAGUCUGAUCCAGCCAUUCCGCGUGCAGGAUGAAGGCCCUCGGGUUGUAAACUGCUUUUGUAUGGAACGAAAGGUUUCUAUUAAUACUAGGAGCUCAUGACGGUACCGUAAGAAUAAGCACCGGCUAACUACGUGCCAGCAGCCGCGGUAAAGUG
rnacentral:rRNA from 1 species